rnacentral:tRNA from 1 species
GUCUCUGUGGCACAAUUGAUUGAGCGCUCAGCUAAUGGCCAAGAGGUUGGUGGUUUGAGCCCAGCCAGGGGCA